UAACAACGUGGCAGAACCUGUCUAUGAUCCAGUAAUCGAACUGCCUCAGGAACCUCUAAUCCAGAGCAAUUCCUGGACUCCGAGGACUAUCAUCCAUCUAUAUUGAUGAAUAAGGAUUUUUCGAUUACCAGCCAUUAAUUCAAAGGGUAUUUAAAAUGUGAGAAUUGUCGUUAUGGUUGUCUAGUAUCAGAAAAAAUGACAACAAUUGAUGGAAGAUCGCCAGUUCUAAUUUCUCCAACAUAAUAUGUUCAUGGCCAUGAACUUGUACCUAACCAUUCAGUGGCAUUGUGAGGUUUCAUGAAUAGACUGAGGGAAAGAGGUAAUGUGGAUAAUAUUGUUCCAGGUGGCGCAUCUAAUAGUAACAGAAAUGGACCGUCCCACAGCAAUUAGGGCUAUUGCACAGGCUAGGCGUAGAAACAUUCCACCUGUUCUGGGAACAUUAAGGAUUUGGAUGGGUAUAUUCAAUUCCAAUAAAUGGAGCGUGAAUGUUGCGUUAGGUGAAUAGUGCAACGAUCCUUUUUUACCAAGGUCUGUUAGAGAUAUUAAUGGACGAUGGAAGUGUACAAUUUGUUGGCAUUGUCUUUACCAACAAUGCAUUCAUUCAAGAAAUUUAUGUACACUUUAAUAGUGUAAGGAAAAUGUGCAUGGAUGUCAAAUUCCAAAUAAGACCACGACAACCAGCUGUUAUAGAUAAAUUAUUUGCCGACUAUAACUUGGAAGAUUUAAUGAGUUUCUAUGAACGGUACUGGGUGGAUACUGUGACUCCACAGAUAUUUACAGUGUUCAGGCUUUAUAGUACUAUAGUACAGGACAAAUAACUACAUUGAAUCAUACCACACAUCCCUUUUACAGCUAAUGGGCCAAUACCACCUUACAUUGUAGGGAUUCUAUGGUAAUCUUUUUUAUAAAAGUUAAGUACAAUUCUUAUGAUUUUGAAAAAUUAUAGGAAGCUGAUUGCUAAUAUCAUAAAAUUGUAUGUAUACAUUUCUUAGUUCACUCGUUAACAGUGAAGGAGAGAGAGGUUGAAAUGAUUUGUAAUAUAGAUGGAUAAAUGUUGAAAAUAGCAGCUAUAAUCUGAGUGAUUUCAUAAGAAAUGUGGCAUACACAACAUACCAAAUUAAAAGAAUUAAAAUUCGAGACAAUUUUCCACAUACUAUAGUACCAGGUAUCAAUCAAUUGGUCACAUCCAGUUUUUAGACCUUUGAUAUUUGGCAUAGUUUGGCCUAGCACCGUCUCUUCAACCACUUAUUUAGUCACCUGUCUUGCUAAUAUGUCCACUGUUGCCCGUUCAACCACUUCAGAUACCUCGACCAUUGUCACCAGGUUUAAAGCGACCAAUAUAUCCACGUCCACCAAAGUUACCAUAAAGAUGAUAUUAAUUAAAGCUCUUCAGAAAGGACCAGGACAUAUUCGUGGUCGAGGUAGAAAAAGGCAUGAAGAAAUUGAUAGAUCAUAUCCUAUAGAAAAUCGUAAACAUGGAAGAGGGAGAUGAGCAUAUAAAUUUUGACAAUGGGAAAAGUGCCAUUGUUUGUUGAAGCCCAUAAACCUAUAAAUUAAUGGACAGCGCUUCCCACGCUAGCCAGCCCUUGGUUAAUCCAGAUGACAUAACUGAGAGAAAAUAUAUAGCAUAUGAGUGAGAAAAAACAUGUUUUGGCACACUGCGACGGCCAAAACCUCUCUUUUCUCCCUCAACUAUCCCAUCUGGUGAGUUCUCUUUCUAUACGCUGUCUAUUAGUUUAUAGGUCUAUGUUGAAGUCAUCUUACACACGUAUGACAUACCAAAUUUUCAGAAAAAUGGUUGAAGAUGAUGAAUUCCCAUCGUUAUCUUCUGAAGAUGGGAUUAAUCAGAUGCGUUGAUUUUCCUGUUUUAUUUGAAAAAAAAAGUAUCAUAAUGUUAAAUCAAUUCGGUACAACAUGAAUUUGGUUGUAGAUAAUAUUAUGAUAGUUAGCCUAAAUUAAAAUAUGAAGAAGUAUGUUUGUCAUGGUAUCCACAGAGUACACGUCAGAAAAAAGUAGUUGGUGAAUCUUAAAGUUUUUAAGGUGGUGAUUUAGUAAGAGACAGCAACAUAUUUUUAUACCCCGAAUAAUUUUUAGUAGACCUAGAUAGACUGGUGAUUUACCAAAUAUUAUUUUGGUGUUGACCUACUUUGGAAAAUUGUAAUUCAAUUUGGUUUGAACCAUAAACUAACCUAUGGCAGAUUUCAUCAGAACUGAGUAAGAGGUGUUGACAGUAAUUAGUUCAAGAUAUUUUGAAAUGUUUGAUAUUUUUUUUUCAUUAUGGUAGUUGUAUAAAUGUCUGUACGUUGAAGAGGUUUGGGCGUUUGCUAUCGAUGGUUUUCUGGACCUGAGUAAAACAAGACUGUUGAAGCUUAAAUCUGAUUGUUGGUGUUAUGACUUAUAUCACUUAUACCACUCAUGUGCUUUUGUGUCGGUGUAGGUCCUCACGCAGCCCCAGAGAUGUGCCGCUCUCAGAGUCGCCAGGUGAAUCGCGUACUCAAAGCUCAAGCAACGGAGGGGGACAAUCUGUCGGUGGCAGGCGUCUGAGACAGAAGCACAGGACCUGCUAUGCGGUCAACUAGGAACUACCGAUGUACAGCAUGCGGAAGAACGUGAUCCUGGAAAUCUCUUGCUAAUACAACUAUUAUGUUUAUA